CAAGGUGAUUGACAGCUGUGUUCACCUAUUGGAGAGUAGGGCUCUCUAUUUAAAGGCUGAUUGGCUGAAGCCGUGUAUGUGUCACGUCUGAUUUCCCUCCCCUUGUGUCUGUUGACGGUCGUUACAGUGUGUGUUGGCUCCGAUGCUGGUGCCUGUUAGCACUGUUCCAUGGAUUUUAAAAGUGCUAGUCUCUCCGGUUGACUCCCUGUAUGCCAGGGCACUGGUGGCUGCCAUGACAGCUGUAUGCCAGUGUCCGUAAGGUGUCAUGCCUGGCGUAAAAAAGCGGAGCUGGGGUCCCACGGGUGACAGGAAUUUCUAUGGUGGUGGUGCUUCUCAUCGUGUGCUGUGUAACAUCUUGUGUGUUUCGUAGUGUGAUUUGAGUGCACUUUGGUGUGUGUGGUUGUGUGGAAGUGUGCUCUGCUCAAACUGAAUUCUGUCCUUUGCCGUUGGGAGCCUCAGCCCUGCUGGUAACAUUCUUUUUUCUUUAUUUGUUUUGAUUUAACCUUUUUGUUAUAAUUAAAAUUGUGUCUUUUCCUUUUAAGGGGAAAGAAUGAGUACUUGGUGUGUCUUUUUAAUCUAGUGUUUUUAAAUAUUUGUAUCAAUAAAAUUAUGUAACAUUUUGCAUUAUACCCACGUCUCCUGCCUACUUUAUUAUAAGGGACCGAACCUGUGUCCUUCACCCAUCAUUUUGGGGGUAAAUUGAGAUUUCCCCGGGUGCAAUUCCCGGGGUGGCGUAGUCGGAGUUCUUAAAAUCUUAGGCUCAUGUUCUCUCUCUAGCACCGCUCUGCUACAAUCUGGCGUAGUCGGCAGGGUCCCUUUGUAGUGCAGAGGCGUGGGUAUUUUUUUUGUCAUGCUUGCAUUUGUUCUGUUUUAUGUGUACAUUGUAGUGUUUGGAAACCAGGCACCAGAAAUCUCCCCUUAUGGUGGGUCUGCACGUCGAGGCGAGUAUGUAUUUUUAAUUUACGUCUACGGUUGGGUCAUUCCUAACUAUGCCAGUCAUGUGAAUUAAUGAUUUGGUAGUUUAAGGUAGACAAUGAAUUAUUUUUGGAACGAGAGGGAGGAUCUGCUAACAUGGGUUAAGUCGAGAGCUAACUGGGUUCUAUGGGUGGGUUUUGGGAUGUCUGACGUGGCACAUCAUAGACGCCUUGAAAUCAGGUGUUGUCAUUUGUUCUGCAUGAGUGAUGCAGUUCUGUUUUUGCCAUUAGGGUUCGGUCUUCCAGCCGGGUUGUUGGACCUCCUGCUGUAGGAAAGGUAGACCCCGGUACUGUCAGUUUACUGGAAGUCUGUGUUGAUAUGACCGAAGUAAUACUAUGCUCCUAAUUCCUUGGUAGAUGGGGUCCCUCAGAGUCUGGGGUGGAACCAUCCAGUUAGAAUUAAAGUCCAGGAGAUGUUCCUGUGGCUAGUUACCUUGGGAUGGGUGGGAAAACGUUUUUAUUAUUCUCUUUGAGAGUGUAAGGAGGAUAAGGUAAAGUUAGGGCAUUGCUGGAGCAGCAUUUGCCUGUGACUGGUAUCUCUGAUGGGGGCAGGAUGUAUUGUAACCCUCAUGUCAUUUUCAGGUGGGGUCCCUCAGUACCUGGGGUGGAACCAUCUGGUUACACUUAUAGUCCAGGAGAUGUUCCUGUGGCUAGUUAUCUUUGGAUAGGUGGGAAACGUUUUUAUUCUCUUUCAGAGUGUAAGGAGGAUAAGCUAAAGGUAGGGCAUUGCUGCAGUAGUAUUUGCCUGUGACUUCAAUUUUUAUGCUGGGGUUGGGUACUAAUCGGUCCCAUGUUAUUUGUUGUUAGAUGGGGUCCCUCAGUAUCUGGGGUGAAACCAUCUGAUGAGUUUUAUAGGUAGGAGAGGUACCCCCCCCACAUAGGUCAGUCAUUUUCAGAUGGGGUCCCUCAGCAUCUGGGGUGAAACCAUCUGGUUCAAUCCUUAGCACAUGAGAAGCUUGUGUGUUGUCACUAGGAAGGGUACUGCAGGUCGGUACUCUAACCUACACCAUCUCCUACGAUUAGCAGGCACUGGUUCCGUGUCUAGCAUAGUGGGUAGUACAGUUGAUGCCCUGUUCUGUCCUUGGGACUAAAUUCUGAGGUAGGUUUUUAAUUGCAUCACGUCGGGACGACGUCGCAGAAACUUGGGGUGGAAUGUAGUGGGACAAGGUGAUUGACAGCUGUGUUCACCUAUUGGAGAGUAGGGCUCUCUAUUUAAAGGCUGAUUGGCUGAAGCCGUGUAUGUGUCACGUCUGAUUUCCCUCCCCUUGUGUCUGUUGACGGUCGUUACAGUGUGUGUUGGCUCCGAUGCUGGUGCCUGUUAGCACUGUUCCAUGGAUUUUAAAAGUGCUAGUCUCUCCGGUUGACUCCCUGUAUGCCAGGGCACUGGUGGCUGCCAUGACAGCUGUAUGCCAGUGUCCGUAAGGUGUCAUGCCUGGCGUAAAAAAGCGGAGCUGGGGUCCCACGGGUGACAGGAAUUUCUACGGUGGUGGUGCUUCUCAUCGUGUGCUGUGUAACAUCUUGUGUGUUUCGUAGUGUGAUUUGAGUGCACUUUGGUGUGUGUGGUUGUGUGGAAGUGUGCUCUGCUCAAACUGAAUUCUGUCCUUUGCCGUUGGGAGCCUCAGCCCUGCUGGUAACAUUCUUUUUUCUUUAUUUGUUUUGAUUUAACCUUUUUGUUAUAAUUAAAAUUGUGUCUUUUCCUUUUAAGGGGAAAGAAUGAGUACUUGGUGUGUCUUUUUAAUCUAGUGUUUUUAAAUAUUUGUAUCAAUAAAAUUAUGUAACAUUUUGCAUUAUA